GGGCCAAUGGUCCAGAGGUACGAUGCUUGCUUUGGGCAACCAAAAAUUGCAAGUGACCUGGGUUCGAGUCCCGGUUGGCCCC